UAUUACUAUAAUAAUACCUAUUUGCCAUUCCAAAAAAGGUACAAUGUAUUGGAACAAUAAAACUGUCAGUUGUGCAAUUGCCAUUUGUAAUUCUCUUAACUACAUAAUUUAUCAUCAUUUUCCAAAGUAUGCCUCAAGGAGGAAAAAUUGGGAAAGAGCUUGUCAUCGAAAGGACCACUAAAGAAAAUACCCGAAAAUUUGCGAAAGUUAUUUUGAGGAAAAUGCUUAUAAAAAGGAUUUAAAAGAUGUCUCAUACCUGGAGAAGGAUUUGUGCAAACUCCAAGGGAAAUAAAAUGAACUAAGAUAGUGGACCAUUUUGAAGAAGGUUCUAAUGAAAUAUAUUUGAAGACAUUAGUCAAAUCAUCCCAAACCAACGUUAAAUCAACUAAAACACUUGUGUUAGGAAAGUUUAACGCAUCUAAUCAAGCAUAUGUAUCCCGGAUUAUACAAACUAUUAGGGCUCCUAAUACAAGAAAAGAUCCACUCAUUCAAGAGCUCGGGUCACUUAGGAAACAGAAUGGAGAUUUACACGAAAAAGGGGAAAUCCUUCAAUUGGAAAAUAGAUAAUUAAAAUCCCAAAUCUAAUUUUAAGGAAGCGAUGAAAGGAGAACUGGAAAAGAGAUUUACUAAAUCUCAAUGUAAACUCAUUAUCAGUGUGAAAGGUUUAGAAAAUGGAUAGAAGAGGAUUUUACUAACGGACUGAUACUGAAGUCUCCUCAAAAGCCUACCGUUACAUUCAAUCCAAUGGUCUACCUCCAGUUCCUAGUGUAACAACCCUCAAAUGGUGGAUCCGAAAUUUUUAAACAGUUCCUGGAAUACAAUCAAAUAUUAUUAAAAUUAUUGCUCAACAAAUGAAAUCCAACGAAACUCCGAAGGGGAAACUUACCUUGCUUGUAUUUUGAUUAGAUGAAGCUCCGACCAAUAUUAAAAAAGGACUUAAGAUGUGCCUAUGGAGUAAAUUUGGAUGUAAAAAAAGGAUAUUCUCCAAAGCAUAGUAAAUGUGAUUGGAACAAUGAAACAAAUUAAGAUAAAUAAAAAUGGUGAAGUGGUGUUGCCUGAGUCAUCUGCUUGGAAGCCCUGUCAAAAGGGCAUAAUUAUUUCUUCAAAAUCUUUGAUAUCAUUGUAUCCAUACAUAAAUAAUGAAAUUGGCCUUCCAUAUAUAUUGACAUCUCGUUUAAAUUAAGAUUGUCUUGAAAACUUUUUUUCCAAGAAUAAGAUAUAUUGGACGAAGCCACUCCCUAGCCUAAUGCUAUAGAUCGAUUUCGGAUACUCGUAAUAAGUGGCUCAGAAAAAAAUAGUUGUUGAGAAUGCCCCCGUCAGAUUUGAGAAAGGCUAAUGUUUUGUUUCUAUGUUUCAACAAAUUACAGUUCCUAUUUUGAGCGAAGCAGAUUCAAAAGAUAACAUAGAAUUUUAUCAAGACUUUGAUGAUAAUUUAUCCUCAAAUCAUUAAAGGUGAGAUUGAGGAAGAUAGAAGUAAUCAUGAAAAUACAAUAAAACAACCAUCUAAUGAUUUACAUCUUCCUAGAAUCUGUGAAGGAUUUAUUUAUGUUGCUGGAUAUGUGGCCAAAUUGUUACAUCAAAAAUUUCCCAAUCUGGUGUGUAAUACUUCCAGCAUCCAAGUUCGUCCAAGUCCAUGGCUUAAAACAUUGCCAAGAGGGAGACUGCUUCAACCAUAGGAAUCUUUUUUGGAAUUUAAAAAAAAAUAGAGAAGCAUUUCAUAAAGUUUCAAUGGAAUUUUUUUGAUACCGAACCAUAUGUGAUGGAUCGACUCAUCAGCAUAAUUGUGGGAAAGUAUCCUAAGGAAGAGUAUGAAGUUAUCAAAAAAUUUAUUCGCACUCUUACAUUCAUUAGUAUAUAGAAAAAUAGCAAGUAACGAGCGAAAAACUGCUCUUCUCAUUACUUAAAAAAUAGAGACCGAAAGUAUAUAUAUAUUUUUUUUUGAAGCUUAUUAUUUAAUUUUAAACAAUAAACUUUCGAAAUGUGAGUGCCUGUAUUCUGGCUAAGUCUAAAAACCUUGUCAAGCAAUUCUUCGGAAAUUGGAUAGCCAACAUUUUUUUCGAAGUAAAAUAGUUCUUCUUUAACACAACUGCAAUGCUAUUGGUAGCGAAGUUUUCUUCUUGUGUCAAAUUCACAAAGAGUCAAUAAGGGAACUGUUUGACUGUGGAUUAAUAAGUUCUAUUUUAAUAAAGUAUUAGUUUUAAGAUAAUUAAGUUUAAUUAAAUCAUUACAUAACAAUGCAUAUUAAUAUUUUUUUUUUUUUAAAUUCAUGAUUCCUAGUAGAUGUAAUUAUGUUUCAUUUUAUCACAAUCUCCAAUUCUUUAAUGCCGAGGGGGACGAAGUAACACGAUCUUUUGUUCGAUUGAACUCCACACAUUCUCCCAAGAAUCUUUAUCUAGUAUCUUCUAUUUGAUGAAGAAUGCUUAUGAUAACUUAUAGCCAUCCUAACAAAUGACAGUCAACAGAAAUAACAUAAUUGAUGAUGACAAGGGUGAAGAGUUAACACAGAAUAACUAAUAUACCUUCAAUUUAAUUUUUCUAACGGAUUUGAGUGAAAUCCGACAAUCUUCUUCGUUCCUCGCUGUAGUCCACUAUCUCAAAAUAAUCCUCCUUAGAAACUGAGAAUUAGCUUCAUAUGCUUUACUACGACGUGGAAGAUCCUCAAUGGGGUUGAAUGUCGUUUAAUAAAAUGGAGACCUUGUCAAAAUGUAGACUAAAGAAUGUAGAUUGUUUAUUUUUUAUACAAUGAAAAAUGUAAACAAAACACGUAACUACUAAUACACUAUGACGUCACUACUAAAAGUGUGGUGGAAGUCACACAUCAGUCGUAAACACGUUAUGGUAUAACCUUGAUAGUAGUUGGAUAUAUCUUGAACAAUUGGAUUUUUCGUUGCAAAAAAUUAAAAUCUUGUCUCGUAAUCAUCUCCCUUUGUUUAUGAGCAACUUGUCAUGUUUCAUCUGUUUCAACACUAGCUGGAACUGCAAAUUUGAAAAUGACAUCACAAAUCUUCUAGGACAAUUUGCCGAAGAGUAUUUGCCGAAUGUACAUUUUGUCGAAUGCCAAUUUGCCGACGGGUUAUUUGGGACAUUUGGGCGAAACAUAAUAUUUAAUAAAUACUAUAUUGAUAUAUUGAAUUGCAUAUUUAAAUUCUAUUAAAAAAGAGUGGUUGUUAAAUUGUCUGAUUGUUAUUGUUCAUAUACUACACAUAUGAAUUUAAUUAAAUUAAUUAGUGUUAUUUUCCAGAAAAUAUUUUUCUUAAUAAUUAGUUAUAUUCAUUAUUGAUUAAUAUACAUAUGAUCACAACACAGUAGCAUUAAGUUCGAAUCUUUUACCGUUCUAGUGUUUAUAUAGUUCAAUAAUUAUUAAUUCAGUAAUAAUCUCUAUUUACAAAGAAGUAAAUACUAAGCUAUUGCAUAACUAUAUUAAAUAUUCAUAAAUAUAUUCUUGUAAAUUUGACACUUUUUGUUAUGAUGCUACUCUAAGUAGAGUAUCCAUUUUUUCUAAAUAAUGUAUAAUUUCUUUGAAUCAAUUAAUUGAAAGGAUAUAUAGUCCAUCGUAGCACUUAAAUAUUUAUAUUUUAAUCCUGAAAACAUACCAACAAGUUCUUCAGCGUCCAUGUUGUGGCACCUUACAGACGUAGUUUUUUCCUACAAUCUUGCAGAUAAAUUAUCAAUGUCUAAUUCAAAAUACUUUUUAUAUUGCCUCUCUAAAGCAACUAUUGUUGAAGAAAUGCAAGCUUUUAUCAUAUCAUUAAAGGAAGAAUUCAUUUUAAUUCUUUGAAAUUUACGAAAGGUGCUCUCCAUAGCUAAUGGUUCUCCAAAGAAAUCAUUAUUUGAUUUAGAAAUCGAUUUAGGUACUAAUAAACUCUUUUUUAAUCGUUCGAAAACUUCUUGAACUGUUUGAAUCGCAUCAAGAUAGUUAUUUGAUUAUCUUAUAAGUUGUGAAGUUUCUUCAUCCAUUUCCACGUUAGAAGUUUGGCCAGCACAACUAGAACAUAAAGUUGGGUUAAACAAGUAGGGUUAUAAAAAUCUUCAUAAAUGGAAUGUUCCAGUCUUUCGGACUUUGCCUUAUAUUUGGAUAAUAAAAUUUCUAAGUCUGUGUUUUUCUUUUGGAGUGAAGAAAGUGACACAAAUAUUUCGUUGAAUGUUUUAAGGACACUUGGGGAAAGAGAAGCUUGGAGUUCAUUUAACUCGGAGGUAUUUGGAGCUGUUUUGGUGGUACUUUGAGAAGGAUAAUUCUGAGGGGCAUUUAAGUUUGAGGUAUACGGAGAAGGAUUUAUGGAAUCAAAGGAGUUAGGCGACCAAAGGAACGGUUUAUUACAUUCAUCUGAUAAUCUUGCCAUCAUAUUUUUAUUCGAAAGUUUCUUGAAUUUUUAUAUAUAUCCUCAAGACAAUCCGUUUAACAGAAAAGUAAAAAAAAAAUAUUUUGACAUUCCAUAUCUUGAUUCGUAUAUUUCCUUCAACUUGCGUGAAGAUUUAAUUACAUUAUAGUUUCUGGAUGUUACAUAGACAUAAAGAAUGUGUCCAUUUCUGAGAUCUUCGCUUUACUCUGGAAAUGAGUUAAAAUUUGGACAAAAUAAAUCUUUUAGCGAUUCCAGUCUUUCGAAUAGCACUUUCAGGUAUUUGCCCCUUCUUAGAAGGAGACAUCGUUCAAUUAUAUCAAAGCUUUUGUAAUAAAA
rnacentral:lncRNA from 1 species